rnacentral:tRNA from 1 species
GCGGAUGUAGCUCAGCUGGAUAGAGCAUCUGGCUACGAACCAGAAGGUCAGGGGUUCGAAUCCCUUCAUCCGUACCA